UAGGGAAUCUUCGGCAAUGGGGGGAACCCUGACCGAGCAACGCCGCGUGAGUGAAGAAGGUUUUCGGAUCGUAAAGCUCUGUUGUUAAGGAAGAACGAGUGUGAGAAUGGAAAGUUCAUGCUGUGACGGUACUUAACCAGAAAGGGACGGCUAACUACGUGCCAGCAGCCGCGGUAAUACGUAGGUCCCGAGCGUUGUCCGGAUUUAUUGGGCGUAAAGCGAGCGCAGGCGGUUAGAUAAGUCUGAAGUUAAAGGCAGUGGCUCAACCAUAGUAGGCUUUGGAAACUGUUUAACUUGAGUGCAGAAGGGGAGAGUGGAAUUCCAUGUGUAGCGGUGAAAUGCGUAGAUAUAUGGAGGAACACCGGUGGCGAAAGCGGCUCUCUGGUCUGUAACUGACGCUGAGGCUCGAAAGCGUGGGGAGCGAACAGG
rnacentral:rRNA from 1 species